ACCGCAGAGGUCGAUUUGGAGGUUGUGCCCUUGAGGCGUGGCUUCCGGAGCUAACGCGUUAAGUCGACCGCCUGGGGAGUACGGCCGCAAGGUUAAAACUCAAAUGAAUUGACGGGGGCCCGCACAAGCGGUGGAGCAUGUGGUUUAAUUCGAUGCAACGCGAAGAACCUUACCUGGUCUUGACAUCCACGGAAGUUUUCAGAGAUGAAAUUGUGCCUUCGGGAACCGUGAGACAGGUGCUGCAUGGCUGUCGUCAGCUCGUGUUGUGAAAUGUUGGGUUAAGUCCCGCAACGAGCGCAACCCUUAUCCUUUGUUGCCAGCGGUCCGGCCGGGAACUCAAAGGAGACUGCCAGUGAUAAACUGGAGGAAGGUGGGGAUGACGUCAAGUCAUCAUGGCCCUUACGACCAGGGCUACACACGUGCUACAAUGGCGCAUACAAAGAGAAGCGACCUCGCGAGAGCAAGCGGACCUCAUAAAGUGCGUCGUAGUCCGGAUUGGAGUCUGCAACUCGACUCCAUGAAGUCGGAAUCGCUAGUAAUCGUGGAUCAGAAUGCCACGGUGAAUACGUUCCCGGGCCUUGUACACACCGCCCGUCACACCAUGGGAGUGGGUUGCAAAAGAAGUAGGUAGCUUAACCUUCGGGAGGGCGCUUACCACUUUGUGAUUCAUGACUGGGGUGAAGUCGUAACAAGGUAA
rnacentral:rRNA from 1 species